rnacentral:lncRNA from 1 species
CUUCUUCUUCUCCUCCUCCUCCUCUUCCUCGCGGGCCCGCGCCCCUGCCCGCCGGGGUCCCCCUUGCCGCCGCUGGGGCCGCGGCCCGCGCCGCCGAGCCGAGCUGCGCUGCCGCCGCGCUGCCGGGGCGGCCGCUGCCCGCGGGCCCGGCUGCCUGGGCGGCGGAACGUGCCGGUAGCGAGGGACGGAGCCGCGCGGGGGAGGGGAGGGGGGAAAAGAGGGGCAGCCUCGAUCUGGGCCGGCCGGCCGCGCCCGCUGAUUGGCCGCGGCGCCCGAGGCCGGCGGCGAAUAGGAAGCAGGGAGGCAGAGGGAGGGAGCAGCGCGGCGGCGUGACGCGAGCGCUGACGGCCGCCGCGCGGGGGCGGGGCGCCGGCCUUUCGAGGAGGUUCGGCCGCUUCCCUCAGGCGCGGCGGCGGCGGCCAUUUUGGGUGGCGGGUGCGGACCGGGUCGGGAGGGGCGGCAGCCGCGGCGGGGCCGUACCGUGCCUGACCGCCCUCCUUCCCUCCUUCCGCCGCCGCGCUCACCCAGCUGAAAUUCAGCAACGGGAUCAUCCUUCGUCCCGCUCGACUUCGUAUUCGCCGACCCCCAGGCUUUGGCGCCAAGGCGGCUGCUUUUGGAAAGAGGAAGAAGUAGUGCGCAGGAAACGGCUGCAGGCACCUUGGCAGCCUCCUGAGAGACCCGGGGAACCCCUGUGUGGCUGUGGGCCUGCUGCAGAGCUGCCAUGGGGAUGCUCUGCUCUAUGUUCUCGCCGAAUGCGGCCAGAAGUCCCGCUUUCUCUGCAUCUUCCUACCUGCAUAACACACCUUUCGGGGCCCCUUCACAAAACGUGCAAAUUCACCUGAUGACUUUUCAUCUUUGAAUAAUAUAUGCAUGAAACAACAGCGUAUAUCUGCUCUCCUUUCUGCUUCACCCUUCUAUAACUUGAAAUUCCUGCUUUUUAUUAGUAAGAACUACCCGUAAGCUUCUCAUGUGAAUUACUCGGCAUAUACCUUUUGUCACAAGAGGAAGGCACACAAGCUGACCUGUGCCACAACUUUUCCAGUGAGCAUAACUGGGAAGCUCCUUUUGCCAAGGGACUGCUGAGGCACAGAGUGAUUCAGUGACUAGCCCAUGGUCAAAGAUUGCGGUGCGUGUAAGGAAAAAAAAUACAGCUACC